AGGUGAAGCGCGUGGGAAGAUAUGAAUUUCUGAUUACUUAAAUAUCAGCCUCUCCCAAGUAAGUUAAAUACUCACUAUUUAGAGGUUGACGGCGAUUUUUCUAACUUAAUUUUUUUAACUCUAUAUUUUCUCUCAGUGUCUUCUCACCAAUUGGCAUUGACGCGACAAAGCUUUCAAAUCCAACAAUCCCAAAAAGUUAAACAAAAAUUAAAAUAUUCCAUCCAAACACUCCCUUAAAAUACAAUCUCUUUACGCGUUAUCUUUUCUCCUAUUUCUUCUUCUUCUUCUUAAACCCUAGCUUUCUCUCUCCGCGUAUUUCACUCUCUCUGUAACAUCUAUGGAUGAUAAGGAUAAAGUUAACGAUCCAUUAAAAAGUGCAGCUGAGUUCGACGCUACUGAGUCGAGCUGGUCACUCGGUGCAGAUUCGGACAAUGUUUACAGCUUCUUCGGCAAUACUGAUAGAGAUAACAGUAUAUUAAACGAAUUCGGUUGGAAUUUUGCGCCGUCGGAGGCGGCCGGAGAUAAGGAUAUUGCCGGUGGUAGUGGCGGUGCUGGUGGAUUUGAUCGGAUCGACGAUGAUUUGGCGGGAAAUAGUAGUACUACUCCAUCUGCUUCUGCUACUGAAGUACCGGCGACGGGGAAAAUCACUGAUGAACCUGUAUCUUCCAGCUGUUCGGAUGAUCCUCCGGAGAAAUCCACCGCAUCCGGUGGCUCUUCCGCCUCCCGACCGCCGUCCGAUACAGCAAGCAAGGUUAAAAAGAAGGGUCAGAAACGAAUCAGGCAGCCCCGCUUUGCAUUUAUGACGAAAAGCGAAGUUGAUCAUCUUGAAGAUGGCUACAGAUGGAGGAAGUAUGGUCAAAAAGCUGUUAAAAAUAGUCCAUUUCCAAGGAGCUAUUAUCGUUGUACAAAUACCAAGUGCACGGUGAAGAAAAGAGUCGAGCGAUCUUCUGAAGAUCCAUCAAUUGUAAUCACCACAUAUGAAGGACAACAUUGUCACCAUACAGUUGGAUUUCCUAGAGGCGGACUUAUCAGUCAUGAAGCUGCAUUUACAACUCAUCAAUUAUCACCCUUAGCCUCGCAAUUCUACCUUCCCGGGGGUGUUCAAUACCCUCAAGAAGUACCUAUGAGCGCCCCAGAAUCGCGUCAAAUUCCAGGUGAAUCUGUAGAAGCUCGUAGAUUGCCAGAGACAAGUCAACCAGCCAACCAGCUGCCAACUGAUGAAGGAUUGCUUGGGGAUAUUGUACCUCCUGGAAUGCGAAGCAGAUAAUAUUAAGGGUAUAUAUAGCAUGGAUGCAUGUCAUUCUUGAAUUUAUAGCUGGAAUCUGCCCUCUAUAUAUUGUGAAGUUUACUAGCUGUUGUAUUUUUGCUGAUCAUGAUAGGAGUAUAUCAUGACUUAAUGGAGGAUCCUUGGAUAGCAGCCCAGAUAUUCAAGACUAGCUAUAAUUAAUGGUGGGAUUUGCUAGCAUAAGUGGGGAUUGUUUGUCUUUGAAGAAUCAACUUCAUGAUUUGUCCUUCCAUUGGACUAGGCGGGAUGCUAAUAAAACGGCUCAUUCACUUGAUCGGGUAGCUUUACGUAUGCAAUUCGUGUUAUUUAGGAUUAUCAUAUUUAACUUAUAUUCUUUAUUCUGAUGCUUCUCAUUUAAAUGUGUUUCCUAUAAAAAAAAACCUAAAAAGAAAAUAAUGUCACUUAAAUUGUGGAGUAUUUUUUUCGUUUUAGUACUCAACCUUUUGCAUGAGAGUAAUAGAUAUUGGUGUACGUAAGGGUAAAUCUUGGGCGGCAAGUUGUGUCAAUUGCGUGGAUUUCUAAGUUGCUCCAUUGUCAGCGGACAUUACCUUUUACCAUCUCCCUCUUUUUAACCUUAUU